CAGGUUCUGCCAAUAAGAAAUGAUUUUUAAAAUACAGACUGUAAUACUUGUAUCAUAUAGCGGUAGAAGCAUAGCGGAAAAGUUUGUGUAAGCAUACGACAUUUAUAUAUAGCCGAUACAGAUGUAGAUGAACGUGUUAAGAGCGUUGUAAAUAUCCUGACACAUAAAUUAUUGUAUUUCAUAAUAAAAUCUCGAUCGGU